rnacentral:lncRNA from 1 species
CGUCGAUGUCUAUGAAGAACCCUCCAUUAGGGUCAUUAGCAACCUCUGCAACAUUUAUUAGGCAAACAUGAGUACGGAGGUACUCAGCAAGACUUUAGGAUAACUAUCUACUCAUGCAAUGUAUCAAUAAGGUAUUGUGGGGUUUCAUACGGAAAGCCAGCAUUUGACUCGUGGCUAGACAACUUGCAUUUUUAAAUAAUUUUGACAACUUG